rnacentral:rRNA from 1 species
GGACUACAGGGGUAUCUAAUCCUGUUUGCUCCCCACGCUUUCGCACCUCAGCGUCAGUAUUGGCCCAGGUCUCCGCCUUCGCCACUGGUGUUCCUCCCGAUAUCUACGAAUUUCACCUCUACACCGGGAAUUCCGAGACCCUCUUCCAUACUCAAGCCUUCUAGUUUCGAAUGCACUUCCUCGGUUGAGCCGAGGGCUUUCACAUCCGACUUACAAGACCGCCUACGUGCGCUUUACGCCCAAUGAUUCCGAGCAACGUUUGCACCCUCCGUAUUACCGCGGCUGCUGGCAC